AGGCUUUAAUUAUUAGUGCAAAUAUGUAAGGAUUUGGGUAUAAGUUGUGAGCCCGUGUUGUUCGUGGAAAUUUUUUCAUGUAAUCUUUCUUAUAUGUUUUGUUGGACACGUUUAUGUUAGAGAUAUAAUAAUUAAUAUUACCGUCUUAUCAAUUUAAUUUUUUAGAAUAAGUACUUUGGUGACAUAUAAGAAUGUUAAUUUGCAACUCAAU
rnacentral:lncRNA from 1 species